rnacentral:misc_RNA from 1 species
AUUUUUUUCCCUGGACGAGACUAAAAAUUCUAUGAACUUUGCGCGUAACAGGGGAAGGUUGGUGGGAACGCUCUUACCCAACCCCACCUUUUUCUGAGAUGGCUGUCAUAUUUAGCUCCAUCAUCCCUCGUUUCUAGCCACACCACAGCUCUUGUAUCAUCACAGCAAACCUUACAGGCCUUGUAAACACCACACCAACUUUUCUCUUCAUCAUCUUCUUCUUCUCUUGAAUAUAACCUCACCGGAAAAACAAGAAUUCGGUAGCUACAUCAAUCUCAACCUCCCUUCAUCUGAUAUAUAUCAAGUAUCUAGAGGGAAAACUCAAUUGCUUGAUGUAGAAAAAUUUCUAUUUCAUGAUUCUUGCAUAGAAAACAGAUCGAAAUAUAGACAAUGGCAUUUCAGAGAGAUGGUGAUCUUAACCUUGAGGCUACAGAGCUCAGGUUAGGCCCUCCGGGCACCACCGAAGAGCCGGAAAAGCAAACCCAUCCUACCACUACUGCUAAGUGCAACAAAAGAUCUUUGCCUGACAUGAACGAGGAAUCAGCAGGCUCAAGGACGAACAACUCUAAUGUCUCCAAUGAGAAAAAGCACGACCGAACUUCUCCUCCCACCAAGGCACAAGUGGUAGGGUGGCCACCAAUCAGAUCUUACCGGAAAAACUGUCUUCAAGUAAAAAAAAUCGAGGCUGAGGCUGCCGGAAGUGGAAUUUACGUUAAAGUUAGCAUGGAUGGUGCUCCUUAUCUUAGAAAGAUCGACUUGAAGGUCUAUAAGGAUUAUCCUGAGCUCCUUAAGGCCUUAGAAGACAUGUUCAAGUUCAAAGUCGGUGAGUAUUCUGAGAGGGAAGGGUAUAAUGGGUCAGAAUUUGCACCUACAUACGAAGACAAAGAUGGUGAUUGGAUGUUGGUUGGAGAUGUUCCAUGGGAUAUGUUCAUGAAUUCCUGCAAGAGGCUGAGAAUUAUGAAAGGCUCAGAAGCUAGAGGCUUGGGUUGUGCUGUGUAAAUUAUAAGCUCCUACCAGAAAUAUAAAUAUGAGAAGAAGAAGAAGAUCGAUAAGACCAUGCAUAUGCAUCUUCAUGAACAAGAAAUACAUCCUUUUUGCCGGGGCUUCCACGAAGAAAAACCUGGAUCUGUUUUUCCCAGAAAAAAAAAAAAGCAAAAAAAUAAAAAUCACUUGCUUUGUUUCACGAAUAGGACAUUGUAGAAUAUUCCAUGCUUAUUGAUCAAAAUUUUAGUUUUUGGAGUAGUCAGCUGCCUGUCUUCCUUUUACGUUGAGUGUUUAGGCUACACAUAUCUUUUCAUUUUUAUCACUUAUAUUGAGGACACUGGAUAAGUGCUUUAGGAGAAACCAUAAUUUUUCGUGUCACCUGUGCAUAUGUUUCCUUGGGGCUUCAGAGACUGAAAAUUUUGAAGGCAUUUUUAUGUCACUGAUGGUAGGUAGUACAUAAAGCUUUCAUUUCCAUGUAUAAAAAUAGCAGAUGACUUGAGAACUACUUCUCUUAAACUAUUUGCCUUAAGUAGCUUUGUCAAAUAUUCUAACUUUUAAUAAUAAUUUAAUUAUUGUGAAAAAUUUCUGAGGGACUUUUCAUCUGAUUGGCUGAUCCUUCAUUUAUAAAUCUGUCAAACUGUGUAAAUAAUUUCGGCUUUUCCCUUUUGAGGUACCUUGUUACUUGUCCAAAUUGAGUCAUGACUUUACUUUGUAAUAAUUCAGGGUUAGUUGGAUUUUGGAAGGGUGUUAUUUCUUUUUUAUGGUUAGUUUCCAUCUCCA